GGCGAACGCUGGCGGCGUGCUUAACACAUGCAAGUCGAACGGAAAGGCCCUGCUUGCAGGGUACUCGAGUGGCGAACGGGUGAGUAACACGUGGGUGAUCUGCCCUGCACUUCGGGAUAAGCUUGGGAAACUGGGUCUAAUACCGGAUAGGAGCCAUCUUUAGUGUGGUGGUUGGAAAGUUUUUUCGGUGUAGGAUGAGCUCGCGGCCUAUCAGCUUGUUGGUGGGGUAAUGGCCUACCAAGGCGGCGACGGGUAGCCGGCCUGAGAGGGUGUACGGCCACAUUGGGACUGAGAUACGGCCCAGACUCCUACGGGAGGCAGCAGUGGGGAAUAUUGCACAAUGGGCGCAAGUCUGAUGCAGCGACGCCGCGUGGGGGAUGAAGGCCUUCGGGUUGUAAACUCCUUUCGCUAGGGACGAAGCUUUUUGUGACGGUACCUAGAUAAGAAGCACCGGCUAACUACGUG
rnacentral:rRNA from 1 species